GACGAACGCUGGCGGCGUGCUUAACACAUGCAAGUCGAACGAAGUGGCGAACGGGUGAGUAACGCGUAAUCAACCUGCCCUUCAGAGGGGGACAACAGUUGGAAACGACUGCUAAUACCGCAUACUGAAGGAGGGGAUUGCGGCUGAUUAGCUAGUUGGAGGGGUAACGGCCCAACAAGGCGAUGAUCAGUAGCCGGGUCGAGAGGAUGAACGGCCACAUUGGGACUGAGACACGGCCCAGAACCCUACGGGAGGCAGCAGUGGGGAAUCUUCCGAAAUGGACGAAAGUCUGACGGCGCAACGCCGCGUGAGUGAUGACGGCCUUCGGGUUGUAAAGCUCUGUUAAUCGGGACGCGGUACCGGAAUAGAAAGCCACGGCUAACUACGUGCCAGCAGCCGCGGUAAUAC
rnacentral:rRNA from 1 species